CCCCGGCCUCCCGCCGCCCGCAGCACCGCCACGUUGCAGCCGGCCGAGAGCACGAAGAGCACGAAGGUGGCUGCCACGCGGGCCUGGGCCGCGGGCGAGAAGGUGGGGAGCAGCAGCGGCUCCUCGGCACCCUCGGAACGGGGGCUCCAGGCACAGCCCUGCUUGGGGUGGGACGUGCUGCUGGAGGGCUCCGUGCUGACGUUCCCCGCCUCAGGGCCUGGGUCCAGCCAGCCCCCUCCUGCUGCGAUAGGCAGAUGGGCAGCGUGGCCCGUGCAAGGCUGGGGGUGCUCGGGGGAUGGGGUGAACUACUGACCCACCAGAAGCCCACCUCAGCUCACGACAUUCCCAUCUGCACCCCCGACACCCCAGAGAACUGUGGGAUUCCGGCAUCGCAGGGACAAAGGCGCUCCCCGGCGCAGGAGCCCUUUGGUGCAGCACCCCAUGCUCCCUGCACCCAUCUCCCUGCACACCUCACCUGCAGCCGCAGCAUCCUGCUCCGUUCCCCCGCCGAGCCGGGCCAUGUCAGGGCUGCUCAAACACCGCCCACUCGCUGCUCCCAGUGCUCCCACAUUGGCACCAGCUACAGCCAGCCGGGACACAGGCAGCAGGGCCGGCACUGCAGCACUCUGCUGCCUGCAGCCACCUCCGCUCCCGCCCAGCAACCCGCCAGCUGCUGCCCAUGGGAUGCCCUUGGCGGCUCAGGUUGCUCCUUGACGUAGCCAACCUGCGUGGAACGGCUCCGUCCUUUACCCCGCAUCACCCACGCACAGAUGAGCGUGAACAGCCUCGUGCACACAGACACACGUGCACAAACGUGCACAGUGUGUUACCAGCCCAACAUGCCUGCACCGAGGCGCUGCGGGAUGCCCGGAGCUGGGGUUGCUACUGCAGAGCCGUGUGUGGGGGGCACAGUGCUCGUUGCUUUGGGGUGUAUCGUUUGUGGGGACCCGGAGAUCCACAGGUCCCAGCUCCCUGCUGCUCCGUAGGACCAGGGCUGCAGGCUGGGGGAGGGGAACGCGGCUCUUUUGCAUCUCAAAGGCUGCGUCUCCCAGGCGGAGGGCAUUACCGUAAUUAGCAAGUCACCUCAGUCAUUUCACAGAUAAGUGGGGCUCAUUAGCCCUGCAGACCUCCUGCCCCAGGGACCCCGGUGCGCGUUAGCAUCUGCCCGCCAGUCCCGGGAUGGGGCUCCGCACCGCUCGACGCCCCGACCCGCGGGGAUCCCCUGCAGCCACGUACCCGCCCUCCACCCGGGACCCGCCGGGUCUCCAGCUCGGCGGGGUGCAGCCCCCAGGUGACCCUGCGACGUGGGGCCCUCCCAGGCUCCGGGCACGGCGUGCGGACAUCGCUCAGCUGUCACUGAGCCGCACCUGGGCAGUGCUGGUGAGCUCCAUUCCCAGAGCUGGAGGUGUCUGUCCUGAUACCUCCCGGCAAUUGCUUUCCCAGAUGCUGUCCCCAGCUGCAUGCUGCCGGCUCAGGGCCCCGCAGCGGUGCUGGGUCUGUGUCACAGCCCCUGCCCGUGCCCGGAGAAAUGCCCUGGUGCGGUUUCCCCAGCACAGCUGUCCUCUCAGCCCCAGCAUGACGACUGUGCAUGUUGCACCCAUCCCGCGCCCAGCAGUUGCUGCAGGAAUGGCCACGUGGCGAUAGUCAGAGUGGGCAAAAGGGUUUAUUUAUGUACAGUCACAGUAUAUUAUGUACAGUCUCA